rnacentral:rRNA from 1 species
UCAAGUCAUCAUGGCCCUUACGACCAGGGCUACACACGUGCUACAAUGGCGCAUACAAAGAGAAGCGACCUCGCGAGAGCAAGCGGACCUCAUAAAGUGCGUCGUAGUCCGGAUUGGAGUCUGCAACUCGACUCCAUGAAGUCGGAAUCGCUAGUAAUCGUGGAUCAGAAUGCCACGGUGAAUACGUUCCCGGGCCUUGUACACACCGCCCGUCACACCAUGGGAGUGGGUUGCAAAAGAAGUAGGUAGCUUAACCUUCGGGAGGGCGCUUACCACUUUGUGAUUCAUGACUGGGGUGAAGUCGUAACAAGGUAACCGUAGGGGAACCUGCGGUUGGAUCACCUCCUUA